CCUACGUGAGGCAGCAGUGGGGAAUAUUGCGCAAUGGGCGAAAGCCUGACGCAGCGACGCCGCGUGAGGGAUGAAGGUCUUCGGAUCGUAAACCUCUGUCAGCAGGGAAGAACGGUCACUGUGCUAAUCAGCAGUGAAUUGACGGUACCUGCAAAGGAAGCACCGGCUAACUCCGUGCCAGCAGCCGCGGUAAUACGGAGGGUGCGAGCGUUAAUCGGAAUUACUGGGCGUAAAGCGCUCGUAGGCGGUAUGUCAAGUCAAGGGUGAAAUCCCCGAGCUCAACGUGGGAACUGCCUUUGAAACUGGCAAACUGGAGUGUGUGAGAGGAUAGUGGAAUUCCAGGUGUAGGAGUGAAAUCCGUAGAGAUCUGGAGGAACAUCAGUGGCGAAGGCGACUAUCUGGCACAUAACUGACGCUGAGGAGCGAAAGCGUGGGUAGCAAACAGGAUUAGAUACCCCUGUAGUC
rnacentral:rRNA from 1 species